UUGGAGGGCAAGUCUGGUGCCAGCAGCCGCGGUAAUUCCAGCUCCAAUAGCGUAUAUUAAAGUUGUUGCAGUUAAAAAUCUCGUAGUUGAAUUUCGGGAUCAAUUUAUUGGUCGUGCUAUUGUACGUACUGGUAUUAUUGAUUCCUACCUUCUGACGAACCAUGAUGUCAUUAAUUUGGUGUCAUGGGGAAUCAGGACUGUUACUUUGAAAAAAUUAGAGUGUUUAAAGCAGGCUCACGCUUGAAUACAUUAGCAUGGAAUAACGAAAUAGGACGUUUGAUUCUAUUUUGUUGGUUUCUAGGAUCGACGUAAUGAUUAAUAGGGAUAGUUGGGGGCAUUAGUAUUCAAUUGUCAGAGGUGAAAUUCUUGGAUUUAUUGAAGACUAACUACUGCGAAAGCAUUUGCCAAGGAUGUUUUCAUUAAUCAAGAACGAAAGUUAGGGGAUCGAAGACGAUCAGAUACCGUCGUAGUCUUAACCAUAAACUAUGCCGACUAGGGAUCGGAUGAUGUUAAUUUUUUAAUGACUCAUUCGGCGCCUUACGGGAAAC
rnacentral:rRNA from 1 species